GGGGCGAGCUAGGGUUCUUCGCAGUCGACGACAAUGCUCCGAAUGCGCAUGGCGGCGUUCGUCGCCGGGUUCGCCACGGCGGCCGCGAUCGGCAUGUACAUGGUCCAGAAGGACGUGCAAACGAGUCACCGGAUCCUUGUCGAGCAGGCCCAGAACUACUACAAGGAGCUGGAUUCUCGGCUCUCGAGACUGGAAGAACACAAGUGAGCUUCCAGCGAUCCAGCGAGUCGGUUCGUUUCAAGGAAGGCAAUCGAAAUCUUCGACCAAACCAUUGUAAAUUUAUUUGCUCACAAAAUAAAGGAUAAAGAAGGAUUUAGGGUUUAA